UGGAAAAAAUAUUCUCAGUCGUCUUAGUUGGACGCGUGAACGAUAAAAAAGUCCGACGAGCACCAAGAUUCGCGCGCUACCACACGUGGAAAUCAUUAUCCGACAACGAGAGGAAUACUCCAUUAUACCACCCGUGAUCCAUUGCGACGAAUAUAUUCUGAAAACGAGCAGUAAUUGAAUGAGUGAAAGAUCAGAUCCGCAUGGUAGGAUUGGGACAAAAACGGAUCACAAUCAGCGCAGAACGGACAUGGUCAUCGGAGUCUAAUCAAG